ensembl:lncRNA
UGGGACAUGAACAGUUGAAAAAAUAAAUAAUUGCUGUUACAAUAUAAGAUGUUUUGGCUGACAUUUAUUUUAAAAGUAUUUUUCCUUAAUGGGAAAAACUUCAGAUGUCAAUUCAGAAAUUUUUUUCUCUUUAAAACUUUUCAAGAGGCAUAGAUGAGCAUUUAUUAUAUGAUUAUGAGAUGUAAUAUUCUGUUUCUUAUGUUACUGACUAGAAGUGUGAAAAAGCAUAUAAUUUUGAAAUAAUUAUGUAUUGUUCAAAUAAUUACAAUGACAAUAUAUUACCAUAUUUUUGUGUACACACUGAAAUAAAAUGUUUGUCUUUUAGGCUUGCAAAGAAGAUAUUAAAUAAAAAAAAUGAGGACAAAGUAGAGAUGGUUGAAGAUGCUAUUGAUGACCUCACUCAGGCACAUGCCACAGGUUCUAUUUGCCUCCAGACAAGUGAGAAAAUAGUUGUUACAACUAGUUUAUCAAUAAAACAUCAAAAAAAGACAAAAUUGGUAAAAACCACAAGAGUACUUGAGAGUUUACAAUACACAGUUAGGGAAACACAGGAAAGAAGAAAAACUCAAUCCCGCUUAAAGCAUGAAUGUGAUAAAGAACACUAUAGAAGCAGAUUGAAAGGCGAAAAACAAAACAGAGAAAAACCACAGUCAGAAAUUAAAAUAAUUUCCUAUAAAAGUCGUGCCAUACAUCAGAAACAUCAGACAUCAAAAAAGAAAAACCAAGAUUAUCUCUUUAUAAAGAACAGAAUUGACACCCUGUCAAAAAGGUAUUCUAAAGCUAAAAAGGAGCUCCGUAAACUACUUCAUGCCCUUAAAGUGAAGACAUUACUUAUUGAAAAAAGACAGAAGCAAAUAAAGCAGGUCAAGGACAAAGUGAAGAAAUAUAGACUCGAAAAUCAUAUACUAAAGGAAAAAUAUAAAAGAGCACUUCUCCAAGAAGAGCUCCUGCAAGAAAAAUUAAACGAAAUGCAGAAGGAAAUUCCCUUGCCUCAACCAUUUGAAAAUGCCCAAAAGAAAGGGGCCUUCAUAAAAGAGGUAUUUCAAAAUAUCGGGAUGCAUUUUAGGGAUCACUCCAUGACUGUUGAUGCUGAUAUUGAAGAACAAGAUCAUGUGGCAAAAGAGAGAAAAGAGCAAAUACAUAUAUAUAAAAAAGAACAGGCAGAAGAUGAGCUGCAUGAAUAUCAACAACGGAUCAAACGGGAAAAGCAGUAUAUUAAAGAUAUAGAAGAUUAUAUACUAAAAUUAAAACAUUCCACAUCUGAAAAUUCAGGAGAGCAAACUGACAAAAAUGAAGAACUUUGGGACACUACCGAUUCCCAUUUUCAACAUAUUCGACACCUUGAAGAAAAAAUAGAAGCAGAAUUUUCAAAAAAUAUUAAGUUGGAAUUACUAUAUAGAAAGCUUCAAGAAGAGGCAAUUGCUCUCCAAGGUCUGCCAAAGGAUGAUGACAACCUGGAACGGAGGAGAAGAGGAAUUUAAAGGAGCAGUUAUUACACUGGAGCAAAAAGAAGAAAAACUUAUAUGACCAAAUGGAGCAUUGACUUCAAGAAAUGGAAGCUGAAUUUGAAAAUAAAACAUCUAAGGCAGAACUAGAGAAAUACAGGGGGCAGAGCCAAGAUGGCAGAGAUUACACAGGUCUUUAUCUGAGCUCACAUCAACACCAGAUCAAAACUCUGAACUGUAACAAAUUUCUAGCGGAAGUUAUUUUGGAAAAAAUUCAGAAAAGGUUUAUUUCAAUCAGGCAUGGGGGUGGAGGGGUGGACUGAGCACAGGCCUAGCGUAGGGACCCAGGGCAGUGUGCCAUUCAUAUCUCAGCCGAGACACAUACAAGACAAAGGUAAAUAGUGUGCCUCUAAACCCCAGAAGAUUAUGGGACCUGACCAUGUCCACCCAACACUGAAAGGAAGUCAGCACCACUGACUAUCCUAAAGCCACUAUCACCUAUACAGGAAGCUGGGUAAAAUCUCCCUGUUGCCCUAAGAGCAGACCUCACCCUUUAAAAAAAUCAGGAAAAAAAGCAAAAAGAAAUCUGAUCAUAUUUAGCUUUUAUGGAGAAAAAAAAGUACAGACCUCUAACCCUGAGGAUCCUAAAGGCAAAUCAUGAAUCCCCAAAAGGUGAUAUAAUUUGGACCCCAUCUCACAAGGCUCUCUUGGAAGAAUUCAAAAAAGAUCUUAAAAGAGAGUUAGGAGGAAAAUGGAGAAAAGAGAACUUUGCGAGAGAGUUUGGAAAAGGAAACACAGAAAUUAUCUGAAGGUAAUUUAAAAAUAGAUUUAGUGAAAUGGAAAAAUCACAUAAUGCUUCAAAUAACUCUUUAUAAAAUACAUUUGAUGAAAUGGAAGAAAGUGCAUAACUCCUUAGAAAAUAGAUUUGAAAAAGAAACCAAUUCAUUGAAAAACAGAAUUUGUGAAAUUGGGAAAAAAUUCAGUGAACAAAAACAUUUAAAAGGUCAGUUGCCCAAAUGCAAAAUGAAAUAAAGAUAACUGAAAAAAAAGAAAAAAUUAGAAUUGAACAAAUGGAAGUGAAUGACAUAGACUUCAAGAAACAGUUAAGCAAAACCCUCAAAAAAUGAAAAAAUAGAAGAAAAUGUAAAAAACUUACAUGGAAAAUAGAUUUAGCAGAAACAGAGACAAUCUAAGGAUUGUUGGACUUCCUAAAAACCAUGAUGAAAAAAAGAGCCUAUCAUCUUUCAGGAAAUCAUUAAACUGCCUUCAUGUCCUAGAACCAGAGAGUAAAAUAGCCAUUGAAAGAAUUCACCUAAAACUUCUCAAAAGGGGCCCCACAAUGAAAACUCCAACAAACUUCAGAAUUAUCAAAUCAAGAAUGAAAUAUUGCAGGCAGCCAAAAAGAAGCACAAGCUAAGAUAGCAGUGACCACACCUCUCUUAGAUCAUAUGAACUGAAAACUUCCAGAACUAGCUCUGAAAAAAGCAGAAUAAAAAACUUGAAUCUUGGGAUAGUGCUGUCUCCAUUGUAGAGCAACAACAAAAAUAAUCUAAACAUAGAAAGUUACUAUGAUCAAAACACAAACAUAGAAAAAGGCAACAAAGUCAAAGUGUUACAUCCAAAACCACAAAGAAAAAUGUAAAUUGGCCUCAGGCCAAUAAAGAAUUUCUGGAGGAGCUCAAAAAAGGAUUUUAAAAUUCAAAUAAGAAUGGUUUUAAAAACUUGGAAAAGAAAUGAAUGAUACAAAAAAAAUUAAGAAAAGUCAACACCUUAGCAAAGGAGACACCAAAAAAUAUUAAAGAAAAUUACCUUAAAAAAAGAAUAGGCCAAAUGGUAAAAGAUACACAAAAAUCCACUGAAGUAUUUAAAAAUAAAAUUGGCCAAAUGGAAAAAAUGUUCAAAAAUUCACCAAAGAAAAUUACUUUAAAAAUAGAUUUGGGCAAAUUAAAGCUGCAUUCAUGAGACAUCAAGAAAAUAAUCAGUAGAAUGAAAAAAAAAUAAAGACAAUGUGAAAUAUCACUGGAAAAACAAUUGGUUUGAAUAAUAGAUUCAAGAGAGGUACAUUAAAAUUAUUGCAACACCUGAAAUCCCUGAUCAAACAGAGCUUAAACAUCUUUUCAAGGAAACUGACCUGAUAUCCGAAAACCAGAGGGUAAAAUAGACAUUGAAAGACUCCACCAAUCAACUCACUCCUGAAACAGAUCCCAAAUUGAAAAUUCCCAGAAAUAUUUAAGCUGAAUCUCAGAUCUUCCCAAGUCAAGAAAAAAAAUAUUGCAAAGAGCCAGAAAUAAACAAUUCUAAUACUGUAGAGUCACAUUCAAAAUAGGGUUUGGAAUAAUACUCCAGAUGGCAAAGGAUUACAAUUAAGAAUCAAUUACCCAGCAAAACUGAGUGAGGGAAAAGGAUAGGGGAUGAGACAGUAAUGAAAUAGAGAAGUUUCAAGUAUCCCUGAUAAGCUCAAAAUGAACAGAAAACUUAUACAAAACUGAAGAGAUGCAUAAAAAGUUAAAGAGAAAUCAUAAAGGAUUCAAUAAAGUUAACUAAGUGUAUUUCUACAUGGGAAGAUGAUACUUGUAACUCUUAAAAAAUCAUUAGGGCAGUUUUAGGAGUCUACAUAGCCAAAGGGCACAGAUGUGAAUUAACUAUAACGGGGAUGAUAUCCCAAGAAAAUUAAAAUAAAAGGUGAGAGAGGUAUGCCUAUUUCAUAGGAGAAAGGGAAAGGAGUAAAAGGAGAGAGAACAGGACAAACAGGGAGAAAGUAGGAUGGAAGUAAUAAGAGUAAUCAAAACUUUGAAUGUAAAUAGGAUAAAUUCACCCAUAAAACAGGAGAUGGAAUGAAUUACAUAAUUUAGACGUAAAAGGUGACCAUGAAGCAUAAAUAAGGAAAUAUGGAACAGUUUACCUUUUUUCUCUAAAGGGAAGAAUUUGUGACCAAGAAACAGAAAUGAAAUCCAAAAUGUAUUGAUUUUGAUUACAUUAAAAUAAUUGUUUGUUUGCACAAACAAAAGCAAGUUAAGAUUGUAAGGAAAGAAGAAAAUUGGGGUGGAAGUUAUAUAACAAUUUUCCCUCAUAAAGGUCUCGUUUUUCAAAUAUAUAAAGAACCAAGUCAAAUUUAUAAGAAUACAAAUCAUUCCCCAAUUGGUAAAUGAUCAAAGAAUAUGAACUAGCAGUUUUCAGAUGAAGAAAUCAAACCUAUCUAAUUAUAUGAAAAAAUGCUCUAAAUCAUCAUUGAUUAGAGAAAAGGAAAAUGAUAAAUACUGGUGAUGUGAGAAAAUUGGAACACUAAUGAAUAGUUGUACCGAGUUGUAAAGUGACCCAAACAUUUUGGAGAGCAAUUUGAAACCAUGUCAAAAGGAGUAUAAAAUUUUGCAUAUUCUUUGAACCAGCAAUACCACUACUAGAUCUGCAUCCAAAAGAGAUAGAAAAGGAAAAGGGCCUAUAUAUUCAAAAAUAUUUAUAGCAGGUCUUUUUGUAGUGGCAAAGAAAUGAAAACUAAGGGAAAGAUCAUCAGGUGAGACAAUAGCUGAACAAGUUGUGAUAUAUGACUGUUAACAGUAUUAUACCAUAAGAACUCAAUAGCAGACUGAUGAAAAUGAAGUCUGAAUACAGAUCAAAGCAUACUUUUUAAAAAAUUAUUUUUCUUAGGGUUUUUUGAGGAGUUUGUGUUUUCUUUCACAAUAUGACUAAGAAAAAUAUUAUACAUCACAAAAAUAUUUUACAUCACUGCACAUGUACUUUACUUAUUUACGUCAAUAAGGGAGAAGAGAACUAGAAACAUUUUAGACAUUAAAAAUUGUUUCUAUACAUAACUAGAAAAAAAAUUUUAAAUGUGCUCAAAAAAAGUAAAAAUUAAAAUCUUAAUAUGGUUCAAAAGAAAAAUAAUAUGAAGACAAUUCCACCUCAAAUGUAGUAAAUUGCAUACAUUUUCAUACUUUUAAAAUGUAUUAUAAUGACUUUUUCUUCUUUAAAAAAAAGCUUUUUUUUUUUUAAAAAAAGCACACAUAUAUUGUAUCUAGGAUAUACUGACAUAUUUAACAUAUAUAAGACUGCUUGCCAUCUGGGGGGGUGGUGGAGGGAAAAAAGGGGAAAAAUCAGAACAGAAGUGAGUUCAAGGGAUGUUGUAAAAAAAUUACCCUGGUAUGGUUAAUGUCAAUAAAAAGUUAUAAUUUUAUAACAUCAUAUGGGAAUGCUCUAUAGGGAGAGACACUAAAGACACUAUAGUAAUGUAAAUAAAUAAAAUAAAUUUUAAAAAAUUUUAAAAGAUCCCAUAGCCAAAACUGUAAAACCAAUUAGAUAUGCUCUGCUAUUCCUUCUGCACAAAUUGUUCAUUUCUCAUAUCUAUGCAUUAUAUGCCAUUUCUGCUAAAAGGAUUCUGCCUCCUCUUGCUAAUAAACUUGCCUUUCAAAAGUCA